rnacentral:sRNA from 1 species
UGCCUAAACCCGCAGGACUUCCUACGGGCAUGGCUCAAAAGACCCGAUGAAGAUACUGAACCCCACGUUCAGCGACUCUUCAUCGGGCCAUAUCAGGAAACUGGUAUGGGGUCGCAAGACCU